GAAAUUGUUCUCCUGUGGGCCCGCAGCUGCCGGCCUCACGCGGCGGAGACGCGCAGACGCAGCCGUGUGCCUGAGGGCAGCCGUCCUCCCUCCCCUCCCUCCCGCGGGCGGUGUGAGGGGGUGCGGGCCGGCCCUGCCUGCCCGCCGCCCCCCGCCUCGCCGCGCCCGGGCCCGCCCCGUCCGCCGCCGUUCCCUCGGCGGCGCGGCGACAGCUGCCGGCCGCCGUAGCCCCUGCGAGGGGAGCCCGUGGCCGGGCUGGGAGGAAGAGAAAGGCGGCGAGAGUCGGGUUACAAGAUGGCGGCGGCGCUGCGGUAGCUGCUGAGGCGGCGGAGCGGCGCCAGCGAGGACCCGAGCCGGGGCGCGGCGUCGCUCUCUCGCCGUCCGGGAGCCAUGAAAAGCGGCGCGUUAAAGGCCCCGCCGUGCCCCUGAGCGGCCCGGCGGCCCCGCUUCCUCCUGUUCCCCUCCGCCCUCGCUCCAUCGCCCCCCGGAGGCGGAGCGGGCCCGGGCCUGGGCCCGGGGCCGGCGCGGAGGCCCGAGGCCGGGGCUGCACCAUGUCGGACACCCGUCGGCGGGUGAAGGUCUACACCCUCAACGAGGAUCGGCAAUGGGACGACAGGGGUACCGGGCACGUCUCCUCCACCUACGUGGAGCGGCUGAAGGGGAUGUCGCUGCUGGUUCGCGCCGAGUCGGACGGUUCACUGCUGUUAGAAUCGAAGAUAAAUCCAAAUACUGCAUAUCAAAAACAGCAGGACACCCUGAUUGUCUGGUCAGAAGCAGAAAACUACGAUUUAGCACUGAGUUUUCAAGAAAAAGCUGGCUGUGAUGAAAUUUGGGAAAAAAUCUGCCAGGUUCAAGGUAAGGAUCCUUCAGUGGAAGUCACGCAGGACCUUAUUGAGUCAGAAGAGGAACACAUAGAAGAAAUGCCUGAAACUAGUCCUUUGAUCGACCUUCCUACUUGUGAACUCAAUAAACUUGAAGAGAUUGCUGACCUAGUUACCUCUGUUCUCUCCUCACCCAUCCGUAGAGAAAAGCUAGCACUGGCCUUGGAGAAUGAAGGCUAUAUUAAAAAACUAUUACAGCUUUUCCAAGUCUGCGAGAAUUUAGAGAACACCGAAGGCUUACAUCAUUUGUAUGAAAUUAUUAGAGGAAUUUUGUUCCUCAACAAAGCAACUCUGUUUGAGGUGAUGUUUUCUGAUGAGUGUAUUAUGGAUGUUGUUGGAUGCCUUGAGUAUGAUCCUUCUUUGGCUCAGCCAAAACGGCACAGGGAGUUCUUGACCAAAACAGCAAAAUUUAAAGAGGUUAUUCCUAUAACAGACUCUGAACUCAGGCAAAAAAUCCACCAGACUUACAGGGUACAGUAUAUUCAGGACAUCAUCUUGCCGACACCGUCUGUUUUUGAAGAGAAUUUUCUUUCUACACUCACUUCCUUUAUUUUCUUCAACAAAGUUGAGAUUGUCAGUAUGUUGCAGGAAGAUGAGAAAUUUUUGUCUGAAGUUUUUGCACAAUUAACAGAUGAAGCUACAGAUGAUGACAAACGAUGUGAAUUGGUUAACUUUUUCAAAGAAUUCUGCGCGUUUUCUCAGACGUUACAACCUCAGAACAGAGAUGCAUUUUUCAAAACAUUGGCAAAGUUGGGAAUUCUUCCAGCUCUUGAAAUUGUAAUGGGAAUGGAUGAUCUGCAAGUUAGAUCUGCUGCUACAGAUAUAUUUUCUUAUCUAGUAGAAUUUAGUCCAUCCAUGGUCCGAGAAUUUGUAAUGCAAGAGGCCCAGCAGAGUGAUGAUGAUAUCCUCCUCAUCAACGUGGUCAUUGAGCAGAUGAUCUGCGACACUGAUCCCGAACUCGGGGGAGCCGUUCAGUUGAUGGGGCUCUUGCGCACGCUGAUAGAUCCGGAGAAUAUGUUGGCCACAGCUAAUAAAACGGAAAAAAGUGAAUUUCUCAAUUUCUUCUACAACCAUUGUAUGCAUGUUCUUACUGCACCGCUUCUGGCCAAUACAUCAGAAGAUAAAUGUGAAAAAGAUGCAGUAGUUGGGUCCACUAAGAGUAAUACAAUUUGUCCUGAUAAUUAUCAAACGGCACAACUACUUGCCUUAAUUUUGGAGCUGCUUACUUUUUGUGUGGAACACCACACGUAUCACAUCAAGAAUUACAUUAUGAACAAAGAUUUGCUAAGAAGAGUACUGGUCUUGAUGAAUUCAAAACACACGUUUCUGGCCUUGUGUGCUCUUCGCUUUAUGAGGAGGAUAAUUGGCCUAAAAGAUGAAUUUUAUAACCGUUACAUCACCAAGGGAAACCUGUUUGAACCGGUUAUAAAUGCGCUGUUGGAUAAUGGAACUAGGUACAAUCUACUCAACUCCGCUGUGAUUGAGCUGUUUGAAUUCAUCAGAGUGGAAGAUAUUAAGUCCCUUAUUGCACAUAUAGUUGAAAACUUUUAUAAUGCACUUGAAUCUAUCGAAUAUGUUCAGACAUUCAAGGGAUUGAAGACAAAAUAUGAGCAAGAAAAAGACCGACAAAACCAGAAACUGAACAGUGUUCCAUCUAUAUUGCGUAGCAAUAGAUUCCGCAGAGAUGCAAGAGCCUUAGAGGAGGAUGAAGAAAUGUGGUUCAAUGAAGACGAAGAGGAAGAAGGUGAAGCUGUUGUACCUCCAGUUGAGAAGUCAAAACAGGAGGAUGAUUUUCCAGAUAGCUAUGAAAAAUUUAUGGAAACUAAAAAAGCUAAGGAGAGCGAAGACAAAGAGAAUCUUCCAAAAAGGACUUCAGCUGGGGGAUUCAAAUUCACUUUUUCCCACUCAGCCGGCGCAGCCAAUGGUGCGAACGGCGCAAACAGUAAAUCCGUGGCAGCUCAGACGUCACCAGCAAGUUCCAACGGCUCCUCUUCAAAGAACGCAACCCUGACCACAGCGGUGACAGCCACGAAGGGAAGUCUAGUUGGCCUAGUGGAUUAUCCCGAUGAUGAAGAUGAUGACGAAGAGGAGGAGACAUCUCCAAGGAAAAGACCUCGUCUGGGUUCAUAAAUGAAGCCAAAACUUUGGAAUAAGAACUUUUAUUAUGGGGUUUCAAAUGCUGCAACGGUAUCAAGAGCUAAAAAGAGUCCGAUUCAGAAAGCUUUCUCCCAUGAGUAUAAUAAGAUAACACAAGGAGUAGCAAAAGAAACUCGGUGUAUCAGCUAGAAAGGGUUAGUUCUGUAAACACAAAGCUUCCCAGGAACUUAAUAUCUUUCUAGUAAGUACGGAGGCUGCCAUUCAGGCUGUCAAAAAAAAUUAAAAAUUAAAAAAAAAAAAAAGUGGGUUAGUAUUCACAGAACCUGGAUGAUGGCUUCUCAGCAAGGAAAGUCUCAGGUGUUGGGAGGGCAAGGGGCGGGGGGGAGGUAUGGUGAACACUUUUUUUAAAAUAUUGCAGGGUUUCCCCAGUGUUUAACAGGACUAGGAAAAAAAAAAUUUCAAGCUUAAAUUUUGAACCCAGUAAUCUUAAUUUUGUAAUGGUGCUGUCAGUUGUGUUCUUUUAGCAAUGCCUCUUUUAAAAAAAUUUUAAGGGAAAACUAACUCCGUUUGCAUAAGAACAAUCCAGAUUUUGGGACCACUUAUUACCAAUGAAAUCGCGUUUCUCAUGGUUGGAGGGAGGGACACCGCAGCUAUAGUGCAUGCUGAGUUGUUUAAAACAGUUAAAAAUCAGUUUAAAUUUGCAUUUUUUCAAGAGGAGAAAAUGGAAGCUGGAUUCCAAAUGGAUGGUUUUGCUUGUUUUUUUGAUUGGACAUCUAGUAAUAUUUAUGCCAAGGAACGGUCGCUUCCAAAAUACCUCCGGGAGCUGCUUGUGUCAAAGUGGUGCUGGGCCCGGCCCCCCCGGAGAGCUGUCGGCGUCACCUGGCGAGGACACUGACCGGAGCGGCUUUCUGCGUCGUUAAACCAGCUCCCUCUCCCCAGAGCAGCAACGCGUUUUCCUCUCUGCCAGCCUAAACUGCGUAAGCGAGGUGGUGAUGCGAAACACUAACAGGCUUUUCAUAGCGAUGAAUUUAGCAGCGUUUUAACACCAAAGUCACUUUGGACCAAGAUGGGAUUGUCAGUAACAGAACCGCGGUCUCUGAGGCAGAAUCAACAAGCAGCACCUCAAUCUGGGUGUAACGCGAAAGCUGCUUUUUUUUGAAAAACGAAAGCACAUUCCACGUAGUAGGUAACUCUGUACCACUAGAUGAAAUCCCAAAGGGAAGGCGCGAGUUCCUGCCAAGGUGUGCGCCAGACACAAGCGGAGGAUGGAGGACGGUCCCGCGCCUGGACCUGGGGAGGAUGGUGUUGCCCUUGGCGGGCUCCGCAGCCCAGGACGGGACUCCUGCCUUUCCUCCCGCGCGACGGAGCCCUCAGCUCCCAGCACGGAGGGUCCGGGAAGCAUUCGCUGGCGAAGCGGAGCUGCAGCGUCGUGGCCCUGUGCUCGCUCUCCUGCUGACCCUCGUCGGGUUUUCUUCCAGAGGAGUCUCUUCUCUCCAUCGGUCACGGUGAUUAGCUUCCUCCCGCGCUCUACGUGCUACUCCAGCAGCAGAGUCACACGGCCUGCGUGCCUUGACUAAACCUGAGGCUGAAAAAUGCUGUCACCCGGUCCGUGGACCCGGGUUGUGACGAUUCUCUUUAUCAGCUACUCAAAAGAGUCUCCGAGAGCCUCCGGCCGAAGUGUGUCUGUCCGUGCUCUGUUCCCCACCACCCCAGCUCUGCCCUGACCUACCGUCAGCAGCUUUAAAAAAAUACGUUCAGGCCAACACGAAGGGCUUUUUUACAGCAAAACCAAGAAUGUCAUGAAUUUUUAUAGUUAACUAGAAAAAGACUGUGUAAAGUGGCAUUAGAUGUCCCGUUUGAAAAAAAGAAAGAAAGAAAAUCCCUGUAGAAGGUGACACACAGCGUCCUUGUCAGCUGGCUUUUGUCCGGGGCCGUUGCUGUUUCCCAGGGUGACCUGCUGGGUUCUGCCUGUUCCCCUGCCUGGGGUCCUUCUGCUGCCGCUCUUUUUUGGAAAAGAAAAGAACUUCUGCCAACAUGUAUCAGUUAUAAAUGCUAUUUUAAUAAAAAGCUACAUGAAACUGGAAUGGGUUGGUUGUUUCUUUGAAUGCGAGUUACCGUUUCAGGCGGCCACCUGACGACUUUGUGCAGGCUCUUCCCUUGCUUCACUUCAAGUCUGUUACAGCCAAACCGGUAAACAAGGCUUUACAAGAUUCCUACUUUGAAAUGGGAUUGCGCGUGACAUCCCCAGCUUUUACUUCGUGACUAAACUCAUUAUUUUUACUUGAAGGUGCAUUUAUAGCAAAAUUGGACCCAAGGGCUGGUAAACUGCCCCAAAAGUAUGCAAACGUAAUCCAGAAUUAGUAUGUAAAUGCCUCAACUCUGAGCUGCGUUAUCUUUCUGAAAAAUAAGACGGUCAUAGUUGCAUUUCCUUGUGAAAUUAGACUUUAUUACAUUGCACAGCUGAAAAAGUCAUUUGUUUAUAGUAUUCUGAUAAAAGGAACGAAGGUCUGUAACUUUAAAAAAACGUUAAAAUUUCUAACUUGUUCACAAGUGUUGACGUAGGAGUUAUUUUGACAGAUCUCAGUAUCUGCUUUUGUUCUAUAUAUAAAUGAUGGGAAGUCAUUCGAGCGUGCUGAGUGAAAGUCAUCGAGUUUCCAGCACUCUGAAAAAUAGGUGUGUUUAGUAUAUUUCAGUGUAAUUUUAAAUAUUUAUAUGUAAGUACCGAGAUGCUUGUCUGAAAG